rnacentral:lncRNA from 1 species
CCUUCAUAAUAGAUUUGAGUGUUUUGGUAAGUCUCCAUGUCUAAUUUUUCUUCAUUAGGUAACCUUUUGUUGCACAACUCUUACUUUUUUUCCAAAAUGUUGGAUAUCUAUUUGAGUUUUUUACACCAUAAGACAGUUUCUAAGUUUUAAUUACAUAAUAGGGCAAUUUCAGCUACUAGGACAGUUUAUUUUGAUUGUUUACUUGGAUGUCCUCAACUAAAACCAAAUCAAGUUACAUUUUCUAACUAGUGGGACCUAUCAUCUUCUCUUUCCUGACUUUCUUCUCCAUUCAUCUCGUUCUUUUUUUUUUUUAAACAGAAAAUUGAUUUUAGAAAACUUAAUGUUCCUCAACCCCUC